rnacentral:rRNA from 1 species
UAAGGAAUAUUGGUCAAUGGUGGGAACACUGAACCAGCCAUCCCGCGUGCAGGACGAAGGCCCUCUGGGUUGUAAACUGCUUUUAACAGGAAAGAAACGAGUGGACUUGUCCGCUCCUGACGGUACCUGUGGAAUAAGCACCGGCUAACUCCGUGCCAGCAGCCGCGGUAAUACGGAGGGUGCAAGCGUUAUCCGGAAUCACUGGGUUUAAAGGGUGCGUAGGCGGCCUGGUAAGUCAGAGGUGAAAGCUUCCCGCUCAACGGGAGAACUGCCUUUGAUACUGCCGGGCUCGAAUUGGGUUGAGGCUGGCGGAAUGUGGCAUGUAGCGGUGAAAUGCUUAGAUAUGCCAUAGAACACCGAUUGCGAAGGCAGCCAGCCAAGCCUUGAUUGACGCUGAGGCACGAAAGCGUGGGGAGCGAACAGG